GAUGAACGCUGGCGGCGUGCCUAAUACAUGCAAGUCGAGCGAACGGACGAGGAGCUUGCUCCUCUGACGUUAGCGGCGGACGGGUGAGUAACACGUGGAUAACCUACCUAUAAGACUGGGAUAACUUCGGGAAACCGGAGCUAAUACCGGAUAAUAUAUUGAACCGCAUGGUUCAAUAGUGAAAGACGGUCUUGCUGUCACUUAUAGAUGGAUCCGCGCUGCAUUAGCUAGUUGGUAAGGUAACGGCUUACCAAGGCGACGAUGCGUAGCCGACCUGAGAGGGUGAUCGGCCACACUGGAACUGAGACACGGUCCAGACUCCUACGGGAGGCAGCAGUAGGGAAUCUUCCGCAAUGGGCGAAAGCCUGACGGAGCAACGCCGCGUGAGUGAUGAAGGUCUUCGGAUCGUAAAACUCUGUUAUUAGGGAAGAACAAAUGUGUAAGUAACUGUGCACGUCUUGACGGUACCUAAUCAGAAAGCCACGGCUAACUACGUG
rnacentral:rRNA from 1 species